AGAGUUUGAUCAUGGCUCAGAAUGAACGUUGGCGGCGUGGAUUAGGCAUGCAAGUCGAACGGGCCUGGUCGCAAGACCAGGUCAGUGGCGCAAGGGUGAGUAAGGCGACGGCAACCAACCCCAUGGUUGGGCAUAGCCGCGGGAAACUGCGGGUAAUUCCCAGCGAUGUUCGCGGCGGGCAUCCGCUGCGAACCAAAGUU
rnacentral:rRNA from 1 species